rnacentral:tmRNA from 1 species
GCACUUGCCAGAUGCGGGGCGAAUGCCUAUGUUGGAAAGUGCAGGAGGGGCUUGCCCCUUGGCUAUGGCGAUAAACGGCGCGUGGAAUAAGUGUUGUGGACCCGGGGGCGGUACCCGGCGUCUCCACCAGUUUCCCUCCAGAUGGGGGAUAUGGGGACGAAACAGGCUCGACACGCAUGGUAAAGACCCGCCUUUUGCCCGGCAUUGUACCACCGUUAUCGGGCUAAAUCACAAGUGCCAACGAUAACUCAGAGGUGCUCGCUGUCGCUGCAUAAGCGAUAAGCGCGGUUCGGGAGGGCACCGGGCAACAGAAGCCCUCCCACC